UUUCUGAAGUGCAGUUGAAUCCUUUGGUUUGAAAGGUUCUAGAUGAUUUUUAAAGUGAUAAGUCAUUAUUUGAAAUUGUAAUUAUGCACACAAUACUUAGUUCUUACAAUCAAUGCUGAAAGAUGACAAGGGUUGUCAUAGGUACUUACUGCACGUUAUGACUGAUGCUAACUUUGGAUACUGUGAUGCAAAAGCGGCUUGGAGUAUGCUACUCUUUCCAUCUUCUUAUGACCUAUGUGUUGUUGUCAAACCUUCCCAGCUACAUUGGUUAAUCCAUUCCAAGUGCCAGUAGUUAUCCUGAGCUCCAUGCUGACUGCUAUGACAUGAAACUUCAGAAUCUGUGCACCUCUGAUGUCAUCAGGAGCCAUUGAUGUCAGAGCGGCUUCUGCGCAGCGUGAAGGUCCGUGUCAACUCAUCACAUUACCUCUGCAUGAAAGAAUGAAAUAUGUAAUAAAAGGAAACCGCAAAUAGCCAAGCCAUGUUUCAAAACUGAAGAGACUCUACUUGUUCCUUUAAACUAGAAGAAAAAUGUAACUUCCUAACACUGAUUGAUUUUGGGGAUCCAUCUGCAGCAGAACCAAAAUGCUUCUCUACUUCCCCACACCACUCAUCAGCUCUGCUUAUGUUGGCUAAACGUGUGAGAGAAAACUGAAGACGUAACAAAGUUCCUACAUGCCAGUUUCCAGUGGAAGUAUGACUGUAAGCACGUGUACUUCUACCCAAACAUCAGGAUGUGCAAACUGCAGGAAGAUGCUAGGCUG
ensembl:lncRNA